rnacentral:rRNA from 1 species
GCGAAUUGCAGGAUUCAGUGAGUCAUCGAAAUUUUGAACGCAUAUUGCACUUCCGGGUUAGUCCUGGAAGUAUGCCUGUAUCAGUGUCCGUACAUCAAACUUGGUUUUCUUCCUUCCGUGUAGUCGGUGGAGGAUAUGCCAGAUGUGAAGUGUCUUGCGGCUGGCUUUCGGGUCGGCUGCGAGUCCUUUUAAAUGUACAGAACUGUACUUCUCUUUGCUCAAAAAGUAUGGCGUUUGCUGGUUGUGGAGGCUGCCCAUGUGGCCAGUCGGCGACCGGUUUGUCUGCUGCGGUGUUUUACUGGAGGAGUGUUCGAUUCGCGGUAUGGUUGGCUUCGGCUGAACAGACGCUUAUUGGAAGUUUUUCCUGCUGUGGCGUGAUGGACUGGUGAACCGUAACUAUGUGAGGCUUGGCUUUUGAACUGGUGAUACUAUUUCGAAGUAGAGUGGCGGCUUCGGCUGCCGAGGGGUCCAUCCAUUUUGGGAAAUUUUGUGUGUACUUCGGUAUGCAUCUCAAUUGGACCUGAUAUCAGGCAA